GGAAUUAAGCAUAUAAUUAAGCGGAGGAAAAGAAACUAACUAGGAUUCCCUUAGUAAGGGCGACUGAAGCGGGAAAAGCUCAUAAUGUGAAUCUGCGCUAUGCGCCGAAUUGUGGUCURUAGAAGCAUGUGUUUGGCACGCCGGGCCAAGUCCCUUGGAAAAGGGCAGCCAAGAGGGUGAGACUCCCGUACCUGCCUGGGCUGUGGCCAUUUGACACUAGCUUUCAACGAGUCGAGUUGUUUGGGAUUGCAGCUCAAAUUGGGUGGUAAAUUCCAUCUAAAGCUAAAUAUUGGUGGGAGACCGAUAGCGUACAAGUACCGUGAGGGAAAGAUGCAAAGAACUUUGAAAAGAGAGUUAAAGAGUACCUGAAAUUGCUGAAAGGGAAGCGAAGGAAACCAGUGCCUUGCUUUGUCAUACUUCCUCCUCUGCUUGCGGAUGAGGCGCUGUGGCUUUGCAUGGGUCAGCCUUGGUUGAUCUCGGCAGAAACCUGCWUGCAGGAGGUAGGCCCAUUCGUGGGCUGAUACUGUAAGCAUGUGUGCUGGGGGUGACUUAGGUUGACAAAAUGGUUUUCUUUACCCCGUCUUGAAACCGGGAACCAAGG
rnacentral:rRNA from 1 species